GUCAAAUAUCGACGAUGUCACCGUUUGAUUAAAAGACUUGGAUAUAUACAUGGAAAAAAUAUAUGGUCAGAUGAACGUUGUUUAAUUUUGAAAUGGUGCAAUAAUAUAUCUGAUUCAAAACUAAUUUUUAUAUUAUUGCUAGGUGCAUGUAACUUAUUCACUUUAAUUACACUUAAAGAUGUACUCUUAUCCGUAUGUGUCUGUUCUAUUACAGUGUACAUUUUUUAUUACUUCAAACAACGAAAUGUUUUCAUUUACAUAUUAAGUUCUGUUAAGGUUCUGUUGUAUAUGUUUGGAGUACUUAAAGGGCAGAAUAGAUAUUUUAAUAUGUUUCCGGUGUGUACUUUAUUAGUUUUACAAAAAUAAAUCAAUAUAUUUUCCUAAUACACAUGUAUUUCUUUGUUAAAAAAAAACAAAACCAAAAAACAAAUGCACACUAGAGUAGCCAAUAUAUUGCGUUAAAUAUCAAUUAAGCAUUAUGUAUGUAUAAUAAAUAUAUACCGUAGCUAGAAUGUUUUUCAUAGAAUAUUGCAUGUAACUUAAUCAUACAUAAUAUAUAAUGUGUAUUGCAUUUACGUUUAAUACUGUGGCUACAAGAUUGCCUUUUCCUGAUGACAGACUCCUGUUGAAAUCCAGAACUAUAACAGUUGUACUUUUAUCAUAUACUGAAUAGCGUAUAUAGACGUGCAAUGUAAACCUUUUUGCAUAAUAUCUUUUUACUUUUGCAGCUACAAGUAUAAAAUCUUUUAGCAAAAAGUUUUAAAAAAUGUAUACAGCCAACAAUGCACGGAUCGAAAUAUUGGUUUUAGCUUUCAGUUAUUUCAUUAAACUUAUGCUGCUCAGAUCGUUAUAUAUAUUAGCAAUUUUUAAACAGAGCCAAAUCAUCCUGUAUUAACAUUGUAUGCUUCAUAACAUAAACUCAUUUUCCUAUGUAUUGAUUGCAAUAUUGCCGAUUACUCUCUGUUCAUGUCUACGUAAUUAAAUACCGUAUGUAUGUCAGAUGGUAUAUUUUUGUUGACUUUUUAUACGUAUGGACAUGAAAUACAUUACUUCUUUUAUUCUCAAUCAAUUUUGUAUUUAUUCGUUGUUUGUUAUCAUACCAUUACCUCUCUAAAGGAUUAAAAUUGUUUUAAU
rnacentral:misc_RNA from 1 species